CAUUAUUAUUAUUAUUAUUAUUAUUAUUUUUUUGUGAAGUCUGGUUCUGUAGUUCAGCAACAAAACAAAGAUCUGCCAAAUUAUUCAUAAAUAAUUAGAACAGAUGGCAAAAGAUGGCAUCUCCAGCCUUCCAGAAAGAAACACCUAACACCCUGAUUGCAUUCACAGAUUAAAUUUUAACUGAGAUACAUGCAGAAAGGCACUUUUUACAAACUUUUAUUGACAGUUUUUGUUUCUCACUGACAGAACUACGGUCUAGUUGGAUUGUUAGACACAAUGUAAGGUAACUUUAAGACAAAUUUCACAAACAAAAUAAAAUAAUACAGAUGGAGCACCUGUUUAGUGCAUUCUUUACAUGACCAAGACAGAAAUAAUUCACCAAUGAAUUUGUUCUUAUUACAGGUUUUUACUUUUCACGGAAAUAGUUUUCAGCUCUAUCAGCCCCAAACCUCAUGGUGAUGUCUGUUUGAGUGAGUUGGCUUGUAAUGAGAAGACUUGUGAGGAGGUGACUCAUACCCUGCAAUCUGAAGUAGCUCUUAGGUCCCUUUCAGCUUAUCAGAUCUUCCCCAUCUCCUGCUGCGAGGUAAAAGUAGAUCAGCACCUGUGAAGAGGCUCUCCAUCACUGCAUGGCCAGAAAUGGCCUCUUUAAUCAGAACUUGGAGGGUAUUUCAGUUCCACAAGAGCCAAGAGUUUAAAGAUAUAAAAUAGUAGCAUGAAGGAAAGAAAAAGAAGUUUUUCUGUCACUUUAAUGGUUUUAAAUCUCACUUCAGUAGCAUUUUCAAGCUUAGAAGGUGAGAUGGAAGGAAUUCCAAAGGUGAGUGGUAACUAAAAGGAGAAGGAAGAAGAUGGGGUUUUUACUUCAUCACUAACAUUCAGGAACUGCAAUUUUAAGAAAGAUAGCAAAUGUGAGAUCUAUCAGAAAAAAAAAAAAAAGAGAGAGAGGGAGAGAAGAAAAGGUGGGGUCAGCAAUAGACAGAUUCCAUUGGUUCCAGUAGACUUUCAAUCAGGUAGUACAGAAGAAAACCCAUUUUAUCUGUAGGAUAGAUGUAGGUGAAAAGAUAAAUUCUGCUUACUGCUGAAUUCUGCUUGUAGAGAUGGGGAUAUCAGGUGACCAACAUCUUUUAAACCCUAGGGACAAGAGUGAAGUUAGCAAGCCCUGGAGCACUCUCUCAAGGUACAGAAGGAAAAAAUUGUCAGAAAGCUGACAGUUAAAAAAUGAAUGGGGACGAGGUGCAUCCUACUUUCUGUAUUCAGAGUUCUGGGUGCUCUUAUAUUUUGAAGAGCUGCAUUGUUGGAAGAUGUGACGCCAUGAAAGGAGACAACAGCUACUUUAUGAGCUGCUCCUUGUGCUGGAAAUACUGAAAGUGGAGAUUAUAACAAUUUGUGGGGGAGGGACAAGGCAGUUUCAGGAGCUGGAAUGUGAUACUUUGGAUGAUAUUUUCAGCAAGAAAAUGUAGGUCGUAAACAGAACAUCCAGUGAAAUGAGAAGAAGGGGGAGUUAAAUCUGUCAUAUGGGACAAGAGUUUUAAGGUCCUGCUUUGAACAUAAGUUAGUAACCUAGGAAUUGCAUAGCGGGUGCACAUUAUAUACUGUACUAUAUACAGAAGCUUUCUGAGAGGAAGAGUUACUUACAGAAAAUGGAGCAGCAAAGCUGACUGUUUGGCAGGGCAAUGAGAACACAUCUCCCAGGUAUGUUGAAGGCCCUUGUAUUCCAGAUUUGCUUUGAAUCAGGCACAGCUGGAAGAAUAACCCAGAUCUCCUACAUCACGGGCAGGGGCUUUAUCAUCAGGAAUUCAAAAGCUGCUGUAUUGGUACAAAGUGACCCUCAAAUCAGAUGUCAGAACUUUGAAGUAUUUUCCUAAAAUGGCCUAUUUUUUUCUGAUAUUCUGCAAGACAUUCAGAAAUGACUUGCUGCGGGUUGAUUGUUUCACCUGUUGACAGGCGUGGGCUCAAGCUGGGAUACACUGAGCAACUCAGGGAAUGAAGUGGUUUCAGAAGAAAAUGCUUAAAUGAAGUGUGUGUAAUAACACCAAAGCCUGAUUUUUUAUUUCUUCUCGGGGCAAUCAGGUUUCAUCCUGGAGGUGAAGGAGCGGUCUGUUUAAGGAGACAGUCCCAUGUAGAAGCAGAGGGAAAAGCCUGUGUGUUUAGGUUCAGAGGAAGGGAAAAGGCCAGGAAAUGACAGGCAAUGACCAGUGCCAUAUGGGACUACGGAGGAGGUGAGCCUCAACAGAGAUGCAGAAGGAUUUGCAUCUUUCAUGUCCGUUUCAAGAGGUAAAGCAGCUGGGAUGGGAGUAGGCCAUUGGCAGGGAGAAGGAGAAGAAAGGAGGCAUCACUUAUCCUCUCUGUUGUGCAACAGGUGAGGGAAAACAGUCCAAGCAAGAAGAGACAGAUGUCUCCAAAUGGAAUAGUCCUGAGCCAUAAAGUUUUCUAAAACCUUGAACUGUUUGUGCAAAGCUGUAGAGAAAUCCCAAGUGAAGUGCAAUAACUUCAGCUGCCAAACUGGGAGAGGAAUUUAUACAGGAGGUGCAGGAGGGACUGUGAACCAUAGGCUCUGGGGAUCCUUCUGCUAACUCCGAGGAAAGGAUCUUUAUUCCUUUCCUCACUUUUUUUCUCAUGAUCUCUAAAGCCCCUUGCUUUUGUCCUACAUGAACAAUUUAAUGAGUCAUGCAGAAGGAGACCCAAGGAAUAUUUUUGGGUGCUCUAUUGCAAUCUCAUUGCUUUUGCUGGGAAACUGGAGGGAAAGGAUCCCAUGCUGAGAGUCAGCAUCAGUAAAAGAUUCUUGUGUUUUAUUUAUUUAUUUGGUUGUAAAGGCACCUUGGCUAAUGCUAGGUGAGGUCUGGGGCUAGGUGUAGCAACAGGGCCGAGAAGCACUGACAUCACAGAAAGGUUCAGGAGCGGUGGAGGGUGUGGUGGGUACCAAGUCUGUGUUUGUUUUCAGAGUUGGUAUAGUUUUAGAUGUAUCAGCAAAGUAUCACCAGACAUCCUUACAGUUACUAGAACUCUAAUCUAAGGCUGGCAUAUACUAUAGUGUUAGGCCAGUUACAAACUGGCAUUAUUUUAAUGGCUUAGGCUGGAAGAAGCUCAGGUAAAAAGGGGCAUAACAGGCCUAAACAGUGCAAAAUUUAGGUCUGGUUGUGCCUGGACCCAAGAAACAGAAAGAGAAACAUGACAAACCUUCAAAAGCUGGAGCAUGAUGAAUCUGACUAUAUUUUAUCACUGUAUUAUUUUAACUCCAGGUGAAUAAAUUGAUGCUGAAAUAACAUUACAUGAGGCAUAGGAGAUCUGAUACCACUAACUGCUCUUUUGCUUUUCAGUGUAGCGGCUUAUCUGAGCUUGGUCCCAAUGGGAAGAUUUAAUCCACUUUACAUAUAUGGUGACAGAAUUCAUAUGUAAUCUAGAAGAAAUGGGAAGAUGCUUACUCCAAGCUAGUCCUCAUUCUGUUUUAUGCAGGAACAAGAGGGUGGGAGUCCGCCUGCAGGUCAGUGUCCUGAUAAUGAUGUCAGCUGAAGAUGAGAGGGCAAAAAGCUGCUCGUGCCUUUGUGGAAACCAGAGUUAGAGCGGACUGAUAUCCACAGCAUGGGGAAACUGGAGACGCAAAAGAGGACACUUGGGAUGAGAGAAGGGAUGAAGAUGAUGCCAAAAACUUCUGUGAGAGGCAUGAACUAAGCGGAAAAAAAAUGCUGUGAUGCUCUGGGAUAUCAAAAGGACUGAAGAGGCUGUGUUCCCUCAAGCACCUUGUCAAUAAUAAUAUCUGAAAUAAUAUAAAUUUUCACUGCAUUGGAACUGAUUGGAAUAUUUAUUCAACAAACAUUUCUGGAGAGGAUAGGUAAGGCAUCUGCUCCCAGCAAUAUUCUAAGCAAUAUUUCUUUAUUGCUGGAACAUGGGAACAAGAAUAAGCUUCUGGUAAUUCUGAACGAUUAGAGGAUGUAUGAGGGCAAAAUAAGGUUUCUGCAGAUCACUUCUGCUACAUAAGAAAUCUAAUACUAUUUCUCUUCUUGCUCUGCCCCUAUAGUUUUCUGACUUUUGCACAGAAAGAAAGAUAUAAGUGUAGUUUAUGCCAAUAUUGAACCUUUCACAACAGUCCAAUGCAGGUUUUCCAGAGAUGGUCUGUAGCCUUGCUACUGUUUAAUUAAUUCUUUGGCCUUUUAAGUACCUGCUUGUAAGUAGAUUUACUAUCUAGAACUUCCUUCUCUAUCCUAUACAGUGCCCCUGCCUGAUAAUUAUAUACAUAUUGCCACUUACUUUAUUGGUGUUGAACUAGCUAUAGCCUUUAGUUAUAUUAUUAUCUUGGUAAAUACUUUUUUUUUUUUUUUUGGCUGUGUCCCAUUGUUGUAUAUUGUGCGUGUGUGUGUGUGUAUAUAUAUAUAUAUAUUUUACAAGCUUUAAAAACUACUUCCAUAACUGUAAAAUCCAUGAACCCUAGAGUCUGAAAUAGUUACAUAGUGCUUUGAAAAAAGUUACUCUCAUUUUAUAGUCAUUUGUCAGGUAAUCAAUUUAAAGGACUAGUAUACUGCCUAUUUAAUGUGUAGGUGUAACUCCUAUAAGCAUUAAUAAGAUUUACAUUUCCUACUUACUGGAGACUCUAUUCUUUAAUUCUCAUUCUUUCAGUACAUAGGUUACAGUAGCCUGGUGCAGGGUAAAAUACUACAGUAUAUUUGCAAGAAUUUUCAAUAUUCCAUUUUACCUGCUUUGCCCUAAAAUUUAUUUUAGUCUGAGAAGUGAAACAUAGAUGUGAUAAAAAUCAAUAAUUUUAUUUCCUAAUAACAUGUUAAAAAAUAACAUGGCACCCUCCCUGGGUUUUACUUCAUGACUAAUAUAUUGAGAAGGACAUAAAUCUGACUCUCUGCAUUGAUUACCCACCCUGGGGAAAAAGACUCAGUGGAUUAAAAUUCUGACAUGUGGAGUCAGGGCCAUUCCUGAGGGAGCUGCUGUCAGAGCAACUGUCCAGGCAAAUGAGAAGAUGGCAAGUUAUAAGAAGAGGUGGGGCAUAUGGUGUCCAAAGAAGGGUGAGUAACCAAAGAACUGCAAACCACAAUCCAAGACCUGUGGGUAUACCAAAACCAAAGCUCCAACAGUUUAAAGAAGGAAAAAUAAAAAUUUAACGAAGUCUUAAAAAUCCUGGAUUAAAGAGAUUGAAUUUCACCCUGCAGCAAGUGGGCAUGUUGUUUGUCUCUGCUGUCUUGCAUCAGUGUUGAAAUUGGUCCAGGCAUCUGGAGGCUACUACAUUAUUCAAUUUUCCUAAAUUUUAUAUAUGUAUAAAUGUACUUAUAUAUAUUAAUAUAUAUUAAUUAUACAUAUGCAUUAAACAAGUGGCAACCUUGUUUUCUUCCAUAGUGAUCAAAAUCUUCUGUAUUUCUGCUGCACUUUUGCAUAGACGAGUUUCUUUUGGGAGACAGAGAUUUAGGCAGAUAUUUUGGGUAUAAGUGUGUGGAAAGAAACAGCAAAGUGAGUUUAGUUGCUGUUAAAAUUGUAAAGAGGCAAUACUAAGACUUCGAAAAAUCUGCCACAUACGUAAUGCUAAUAAGUUUAGAGCUUUCUACAGACUCCAUUUAGGACAACAUGCUUGUAAGGACCAUCAGACUCUACCAAUGAAAAUUCUUUGAAAGCCAUAACAUUUUUAUAGUAUAACAAUUCCACAGUCAUAUUCAGGCAUUCUUAUUUAAUAUCACAUAUGGUAGUAGCUUGCUUUUCUUUUGGUUCACAAAGAAAAAAUAUGCAUUUACUAGCAAACUCUCCAUCCUUGCCUUGGAGCUUGACUGAUCAUUUCUUUCAUCAGAGGUCAUGUGUGCUUCUAAAAAUGAAACCUGUGUGGCCACUGUUUGUUCAGUUGUUGCAUAUUAGCUCCUCAGUGGUUAAAAAGAUCUGAACAAAUAAGAGGGCUUACCCUACAUUAUAUUACCCUUUAUUAGUAGGAAAUUGAAGUCUUGAGAUUAUUAUUAAGCCUCAGUCACUGAAGGCUACCCAUAGUCUGAUAAAGACCUUUCAAACUGACCCUUGAUCAAGCUGCAUUAGGAGGAUUUUACCCUUGUUACUAAUUAAAUAAACAGUUCUGAUGGUAUUAUUCUUCCUCAUAGCCAUUUCAUGACAUCAGCUCUCUGUUGCACCCACGGACAAAGAGAAUCAUGUUCCUCUUUGAGAUGCAAUGGUAUAUUAAGGGCCUGACACUGGGCCAUCCAGUGGUCGGCUGCCCUGUUAUGUUUAACACGCUGGUGUAUCAGGUGUCAAAGGGCUUCUCAUUGAAGUUCAGGGAAUAAAGACAAGGUUUCCAUUAAAAUAGAAACUUCACAGAUUUCAUUUUUCAGAUGGAAGAAAGGCAAUUUAAUUUCUACCUUGGUGUGCCACAGAAUACAGAAAGGAGCGGCUUGGUGAGGCAGAGGCACAGGCAUCAACAAAGAGGUAUUUGGUUAAUUUUGGUGCCUUUCUGUUACAUCAUUUACCUUUUAUUAAGACUGUAUCUUUGCAGAUAAGUUUCUUCACUUCAAGGUAGGCAUAACAUUAAGGUAAUGAACCCCUAAAAUUCUGCAGUGCUUCAGAUGUAAAUUUCAUUUUGAAAGGCAUCAUCUCUGUGCCAAUGUGACCUAAAAGUAAAUUAAUUCCAAACAGACUGUUAUUUUCUGGGAAAAAUUCAUCUGUACUUUAAACAAAUAGAGUUUGCUGGAAACAAAACAGAGAUGGAUCUGAGGUUUAUUUUGUUUUUCUGGUUUUGAGUGCAUGAAGGAAGCCCUAUGGUUUACAUGGAGCUACAGUCAGAUCAUAAGGUCCAGCCUGGAUAACAGAAAUUCUUGUCACUCAUAGGAUGACAUGAAGAAUCACCCCAUCGUUCUGCUACUGACUCUGCCGCCUUCCAGUUCAGAUGAUGGAGAACAUACGAGCAGGAGCCAGAAAAAUAGAUGUGUGUAUAAUCAAAACAAAUAUCCACUUCUUUCCAACAUUAUUAGUUUAUCUCUAUGAUACGAUGUACUAUUGGGGAAAACGUAGGUGAGGGACUUGGUUCUCCAAGCAUGGAAGACCUGACUUCAGCUUUGAUUUUCUGAUUUAUUCAGAAGAAUAGAAACACUACUUAGCUAACUGAGAAGGAGGUAUUAUAUAUUUGUUUGGUCAUUUCACAUAACAGUAUAAUUAUGA